rnacentral:lncRNA from 14 species
UGAGGGAGAAGAGCUUUCAGAGCUAUCUAAGAGUUAACUGGCUACAUUUCAACUGUCACCAUUGUCUUACAUCUGCAUAGAGAUGGAAGGAGAGCCAGAGAGGUGUAAGUACAGAAGACCACUGGGAAGAAAACAUUUCUGUGUUGGGAAUGGACUGGAGAUUUAAACCCUAACUCAGAGCAGGAGAAAUGAGGACCCAUUAAUUCUUAUGAAAAAAAAAAAAAGCCAUUUCAAGCCAAAGCCCUAACAUAAAUGAAUUUGGCAUGUUCAGGAGUGGACCAUCACUUCCAUGAUGAGAUCAAUGGAUACAAUUUAAACUUUGGUAAGAUGAGGCCUCAAGCUUGCAGUGCUUAAAUAUGUUUCAGGAUCUGGGAUUUUCAGAAGCCCAUGUGUUUCCAACUCCCAGUGGCAACAAAGAAGCUUUAAAAAUCUGAAGAAGGCACUGAUCUGCAUCCAGAGGUGCUCAAGUAUCUGUGUAAAUCUGCCUCUAAUUUAUCCAGCAGCCCUGUCCUUCUGGAUUGCUUUUGGAACCACAAGCACUUUACAGAGCACUACUCUGCAAACUCUGCUCCUUUGGGUAGCUGUGGAAUGAAAAGGAAGGAAAACAUACUACAACCCUCAACUGACAGCAAAAGUGCCAUAAGCAGUGAUGUGAUAGCCUGGAUGCUAGAAGAUGCUUGAUACAUUUAAGACUGCUGCCAUUCUCCUGUACUUCUAUGAGAGAUACCAUUGACCUGCACCUUUGCCUUGAGUCACCAAUUUAAAGACAACUACUGCUUGGUGGGGCACACAAAAUGAAUUAUUAGUCUUGGUUCUGGCCUAAGUGUCUGGAGACUGAGACCUUCACUGGCCCCAUGCAGAAGGCCAAGGACUGACAGAAGCACCAGCAAAAGAGAAGUCCCAAGAGGUCAAGGGAGGGGGCAUUGCAGACUAAUAAACUCUGCUACUAGGAGGAGAACUUUGUUCAACUUCUGAUGCCAAGAAGGACAGCCUGGACUGGCAGGUACUUAGCACUUCUGAAACGCAAGCUCAAGGCAGGCUUUGUUGAACGUCUAAACUUGGGGAAGUCUUUCUGGAAACAUGAUGGAAAAUACUGGCUCAAAUAUUGCUGUUUCACUACCAAGAAGAGCAGAUGGGAGGGGAGAAAGAAGAAAAUAGCAAAGAGGAAAGAGAGAGAUGACACCAGUAAACAAGAAGUGCACUGUCUGAUAACAAAUCGUACAGUGAAUAAGGACAGACGCUGCAGACAAGCGUUUGCUAUGAACACUGCCAACUGGGGGAAAAUUUGCACUCAGAAGAGGUGGUAACACUGCUGCAAACAAGAACUACUACAGGAACACUACGAGUGCAGCAGAGAGAGUCCCUUCACGUGGAACAGCACGCAGGGCAUCACGCACAGUGAGUCUGCGCUCUGCAGGCAGGCGGGACUGAGGUCAGAGAACACAGACUGCUCUCACAUGGCACAGCAAGCAAUGGGGAGUUACACCUGAUGUCCGUAAAUGGCCCCAGGGAGACAAAAGACGGCAACAGCCACCAAAAUUGGGGCACAAAACCCCUUCUGCCUGCGCCAGUCACCCACAGGAUUAACCUGCAAACUGUGUAGACACAACAUCAAGUCCCUGUCACCUCCACCUCUGCAACAGAAAUGGGGGUAAUGACAGGAGUCUCUCCUGAAUUUAAUAAACCCCUGUGCAUGUUCUGCUGUGUCUGUAAU